GGAUUUGCACACACGUGACAUUGAUGAUUUUGAAAUAUGGAGGUCUACAUGGCAUAUCAGAGCCCAACGCGUCGCUACCAGGUUUUGCAGUGGCUGCCAAACUACAGUGAGGGGAUAUGCAAAUAAAACACCUCAGUGAACUCAAAACUAUUGAGUCAAAAGACUCAUCCAGCAGCAGCCUCUCAAACAACUGGAAUGUGAAGAAACAGGAUCUCAGAGGAACAUUCUUAAUACGCAUUUUGUUUUUCCAUAUGUUUAAUUAAAGACCAUUUGCUCACUA